AGUAAGCCAACAUAAAAAAAUAAUUCAUCUGUUGGGGAUUUAAGUAAGUUAAUCCAAAACAAAAUAAAGGUUAGAGUUAAUAAACAACAAAGAUGAACAAUCACAAUCAAAUACUUUAAGAGUAUGGGAGAGAAGUUGAAUUUGGGCCUUUCUUAGGCCGAAUUUGCUGCUACUUUUGGGGUUAAAUCCAAAACCCGUUUUUGUAUACACAAGCCGUAUAUCAGUGUAUACAGAUCGCAAAUCAGUACCGUUUCAUGUAUAUCAACCCAUAUAUAGACUUUUUAUAAACCCCUUUGGUUUCUCCAACAUGUAUCUUUGUUUUUUCUUAGCAGUCGUUGGGCGGAACUUGUAUACCAUUGUAUGAUGAAUGUAUACAGGCUGCAUAUCAGCCCUUUUCUUGGUGUCCUGGACCAGUAACCUGUGCUCAAUCUGUAAUUCUGCUUCCAAUGGUUUGAGUAAGAAUGGGGCUGACUCGGUAAAGAAAUUGAAGCCUCCAUGGCUCCUAUCGGAAAUGCAAAGAGAAAAGAAAGUCCACAAGAGACUCGGACGAAGUUCACAUGUAACAAGAAUAAGCAACUUAAAGUAACAACUCAUAUGAUGUAAUGUAGGAAAAUAAAGAUGCACUUCUUUAUGCUAUUGUCCAGACUCCAAAACAUCACCAUGAUGACACAAAUAGAUGUUAUCUAAUACUUAUCACAACUAGAACUCAACAAUUUGGACAUGAAGAAACACUACCCACAAAACACACAUAAGUACCAGUGAAUAUUAACUAAAUUUUACCUCCAAAUGAUAGUUCUUAACAAACAAAGAAGAAGAGGAUGGAAGCAGAUUGCUUAAUCACAAACCUUAAGGGGUGACAAACAUCGCCAAUAAUUACAAGCCUCUUAGGGAGUUAAAACAACAAGGAAGAUGAACUAAAUAUACUGAAAGUUUAGGCGUUUUAAAGAAACAUGAGAAAACCAAAAUCAGAAAAAAAAACAAAUGCUAAAUAUUCAUAUUCACACUUCAAUGAACAAACAGUGAACAUAAUUUUUCAUCCAGCAAAACCAUCAUUGAUUCUUCCCAACUUUAGUCAUGAAGAAGACAUCAAGACGUGAGCAAACCGUAAAAAAAAAAAAUAGAACCAUACAACGAGUAAAUCCCAAGUUGAAGCUAAAUGAAAAUUCCAUGAUAAUAAGUGAAUGAGAAAGGAAAUUAUGCAAAGACUAUGACACGAAAUGUAUAAAUUUGAAUAGAGAACAUAACUUUAAAGGAAACAACAUGCCUAGGAAAUUUAAACCAUAAUGUAUGUUCCCAAUAGAUCCCGACAUAUUAGAUGAAUGGAAUACCUUCAUGAAUAUGGAUAACAUGCAUAUUAUACAAAAGACAAUGAAUAAUUAUAUAUAUAGCAGUAAUAAGACAAGGUCAUCAACAAUACAUAUAUGAAAAUGCAUGGAAAACAUGUUUAUUGCCAAUUUUGUCUUAGUUCACAUAUGACCCGAAUUCAAACAGAACAAAUACACAAUUUAUUCAUUGAAUAUAAAAGCAACCAAUAUGAGAUAGGAGAAGAGAUGAAGUUACCUUCUCUGGAGUAGCGAACUCGAGACGGCAAUGAGCUUGAGAGCAAUGAUUCUUCUACCACAAGAUUCAAGUACAAAUAGACAGCCAAAAAGUUCAAAACCAGCUGCAAACUAUAUUUUAGAGAUUCACUUGAAACUUUCUAGUGUAAAGUGAUUAUCGCUUCAAAACUCAACUCCUGAUCCUCUCUCCAAAUCCCUUGAGAAUGGGAACUAUUUAUAGGGGAAGAACAUAGAAAAUUUUGUGGGAAAUCCAUUGGAUUUUUGAAAGAAAGAGUUUGAAAUUAUUAUUUUUUGCUCCUUUGCGAGAUCAACAGUAAAAGGCAUGGGGGAGCUCUGGGGGGAAAGAGAAAACGGCGAUGGUGAUGGGAUUUUACUGUUGGCCUGAUUUUUGGGUUUUCAACCAUGAUUUGUUGCUUGAUUUAUGGGAAAGAAGAUGUUGGCUUACUGGAUUUCAUCCCCG
rnacentral:lncRNA from 1 species